AUUGAACGCUGGCGGAAUGCUUUACACAUGCAAGUCGAACGGUAACAGGUCUUCGGAUGCUGACGAGUGGCGAACGGGUGAGUAAUAUAUCGGAACGUGCCCAGUCGUGGGGGAUAACGUAGCGAAAGUUACGCUAAUACCGCAUACGAUCUAUGGAUGAAAGCGGGGGAUCGCAAGACCUCGCGCGAUUGGAGCGGCCGAUAUCAGAUUAGGUAGUUGGUGGGGUAAAGGCUCACCAAGCCAACGAUCUGCAGCUGGUCUGAGAGGACGACCAGCCACACUGGAACUGAGACACGGUCCAGACUCCUACGGGAGGCAGCAGUGGGGAAUUUUGGACAAUGGACGCAAGUCUGAUCCAGCCAUUCCGCGUGCAGGAUGAAGGCCCUCGGGUUGUAAACUGCUUUUGUACGGAACGAAAAAGUCUCUCCUAAUACGAGGAGCUCAUGACGGUACCGUAAGAAUAAGCACCGGCUAACUACGUGCCAGCCGCCGCCGUAAUAC
rnacentral:rRNA from 1 species